UUACGCCCAUAUCAGGAUAAAAACCAAUUCUCAUCCGAUCCCCGAAGUUAAGCAACGUCGAACCUGGUCAGUACCUAGACGGGCUACCUCUCGGGAAUGCCGGGUGCUGUAA